rnacentral:lncRNA from 1 species
UUCAAUACCCAAUAGAUCUAAUACAGUAAGGAAUAACAUAGUUCAUGAUUGGGCUUGGAUUUAUUCAGGAGUCCAUUUAGGCACAGAGCAGAGCAUUUCAUGAGGUUACAUGCUAAGAGACACGAGGAUUUCUAUUGAUGAUGCUGAUGUGGUUAAUCAUUAUAACGACAUCAACUAUUAGGCACUUAAGGCAUCGGGGUAACUCAUACACUGGCAAUAGUAACCAUUAAGGAGGAAUACUCGAGCACACAAACCAUUCGUUUCCUAGAGUGUAGGGGAAAUCCAUUUAUCAAGAAUGAGGAUAUUCUGGCAACUUGAACGUGAUAUGCGUUGCAACACACAUGAAGUUAAAUUACACUUUUAAUGUUAACUGGCACAAGGAAUCUAUGCCACAAGCCCACGAGAAUGAAAAG